rnacentral:rRNA from 1 species
CAGCACCUCAAGUGGUCAGGAUGAUUAUUGGGCCUAAAGCAUCCGUAGCCGGCUCUGUACGUUUUCGGUUAAAUCUGUAUGCUCAACAUACAGGCUGCCGGGAAUACUGCAGAGCUAGGGAGUGGGAGAGGUAGACGGUACUCGGUAGGAAGGGGUAAAAUCCUUUGAUCUAUUGAUGACCACCUGUGGCGAAGGCGGUCUACCAGAACACGUCCGACGGUGAGGGACGAAGCCCUGGGGCACAAACCGGAUUAGAUACCCGAGUAGUCC